GUUCUGUUCGACCAGGAGAAGGCUCCAAAGAGCCAAAACCCUAGUUCAUCAAUAACAUCAGAUUGAAGGGUAAUUUGGAGCUCAAACACGCAACUGAACACGAAUUAACAAUCACCCAAGCUAGGGAAUCGUAAGUUGACGCUUGACAAGCUAGGUGGAGGCUUGGGAAAGAAGCGGGUCAAACGAAUCGAGUACAUGGAAAAAGAGCAUAACCGGAUGCAAUGUGAAUGUCAAGGAAUUCCCGGAUGAAGAUCAAGCUUAACGAAGGACCGAACACACAAGAUUAAAGCUUCCGCACGGCGUUACGUCGUUACUUUCAAAUGACGAACACAAUUACAUUAUGUUGUACUGCUUUUAAACUGUAAAAGUUUUAGCAAACCCGUAUUUUUUUAUGUAUGUGUAUUUUUAAAUAUACAUUUAAU